GAUGAACGCUAGCGGCAGGCUUAAUACAUGCAAGUUGAGGGGCAGCAAUGAUAUACGCGAGUAUAUUGAUGGCGACCGGCGGACGGGUGAGUAAUAGGUAGGAAUCUACCCUUAAGACGGGGACAACCCGGGGGAAACUUGGGCUAAUACCGGAUGAGAGUGCGAGAGAUUGCAUUUAAAAGGAUGGCGAAAGUUGUCGCUUAGGGAUGAGCCUGCGGUCUAUUAGUUAGUUGGUGAGGUAAGAGCUCACCAAGGCGAUGAUAGAUAGGCGGCCUUAACGGGUGGUCGCCCACACUGGGAUUGAGAUACGGCCCAGACUCCUACGGGAGGCAGCAGUCGAGAAUAGUCUACAAUGGCCGGAAGGCUGAUAGUGCGACGCCGCGUGAACGAGGGAGCCCUUCGGGGUGUAAAGUUCUUUUCUAUUACGAGCAGUGCUAUAUAUAUGGAUAGUAUAUAUAGAGGGAUAGUAGUAUAGGAAUAAGCAACGGCUAACUCCGU
rnacentral:rRNA from 1 species